rnacentral:lncRNA from 1 species
GGGGCCCGGCGCCCGCGCGAGGUGGACGGUGUUCUUGGAGACGCGGCGGGCCGGGCCGAGCCUGCAGCCCCCUGGGCGGUCGCCUUCUUCUCCUCUCCCGUCUUUUAUCUUAGUGUUGACAUUUGGUUUGCAGUUACAGUACUCUUAAGAUUGAUUUCUAAAGAUAUGGUUUUCAUCCAGCUUCAUCAACGCACAUAAAUUUUCUCCUUUUUGGACUCCUGUUUUAUAUCACAAUGCAACAAACUUUAGAACUAGCUUUGGAUCGUGCAGAGUAUGUCAUUGAAAGUGCCCGGCAGAGACCUCCUAAAAGGAAAUACCUAUCUAGUGGAAGAAAAUCUAUAUUUCAAAAACUUUAUGACUUAUAUAUUGAAGAAUGUGAAAAAGAGCCUGAGGUUAAGAAAUUAAGAAGAAAUGUGAACUUAUUAGAGAAGCUUGUUAUGCAAGAGACAUUGUCAUGUUUAGUGGUCAACCUAUACCCGGGAAAUGAGGGAUAUUCUCUGAUGCUCAGGGGAAAAAAUGGAUCAGAUUCUGAGACCAUUCGACUGCCUUAUGAAGAGGGAGAAUUGCUUGAAUACUUGGAUGCAGAAGAAUUACCUCCAAUUUUGGUUGAUCUCCUAGAAAAAUCUCAGGUUAAUAUUUUUCAUUGUGGAUGCGUCAUAGCAGAAAUACGUGACUAUAGGCAGUCCAGUAACAUGAAAUCUCCUGGUUACCAAAGUAGGCACAUUCUGUUACGUCCAACAAUGCAGACUUUAAUCUGUGAUGUACAUUCAAUAACAAGUGAUAACCAUAAGUGGACCCAGGAAGACAAACUUUUGCUUGAGAGCCAAUUGAUUCUGGCUACAGCGGAGCCGCUGUGUCUUGAUCCUUCCGUAGCUGUCACCUGCACUGCAAACAGACUGCUCUAUAACAGGCAAAAGAUGAACACACGCCCAAUGAAACGAUGUUUCAAGAGAUAUUCCAGGUCCUCUCUGAAUCGGCAACAGGAUAUGUCUCAUGGUCCACCUCCUCCUCAGCUAAAAUUACUUGAUUUCUUACAAAAAAGAAAGGAAAGAAAAGCAGGUCAGCAUUAUGACCUCAAAAUUUCUAAAGCAGGAAAUUGUGUAGAUAUGUGGAAACGGAGUCCCUGUAAUUUGGCUGUACCUUCUGAGGUGGAUGUGGAAAAAUAUGCCAAAGUAGAAAAAUCUAUCAAGUCUGAUGACUCACAACCAACAGUCUGGCCAGCCCAUGAUGUAAAAGAUGACUAUAUAUUUGAAUGUGAAGCUGGUAAUCAGUAUCAGAAAACAAAGCUGACCAUUUUGCAGUCACUUGGUGAUCCACUUUACUAUGGUAAAAUCCAGCCAUGUAAAGAAGAUGAGGAGAGUGACAGUCCGAUGUCACCGUCCCAGUUCGUUAUUGGAUCAAAGACUGAUGCUGAGAGAGUAGUCAAUCAGUACCAGGAAUUGGUCCAGAAUGAAGCCAAAUGUCCAGUGAAGAUGUCACAUAGCUCCAGUGGCUCAGCCAGCUUGAGUCAGCUUUCUCCAGGGAAAGAAACAGAACAGCCUGAGACCGUGUCAGUUCAGUCUUCAGUACUGGGGAAGGGAGUGAAACAUCGACCUCCACCCAUCAAACUUCCCUCAACCUCAGGAAAUAGUUCCUCAGGUAACUAUUUUACACCACAACAGGCCAGCAGCUUUCUUAAAUCUCCAACUCCUCCUCCUGCUUCUAAGCCACCAAGUCUUUCUCGGAAGUCAUCCGUGGAUCUUAAUCAAGUUAGCAUGCUUUCUCCAGCUGCCCUGUCACCUGCCAGUUCAUCACAAAGAUCUGGAACUCCUAAGCCAUCUACUCCUACACCAACCCCUUCAUCGACCCCACACCCUCCUGAUGCUCAGAGCUCAACUCCUAUUACCCCUUCAGCUACCCCUACUCCCCAAGAUUCAGGCUUCACCCCUCAGCCCACUUUGUUAACUCAGUUUGCUCAGCAGCAAAAGUCUCUGAGCCAGGCAAUGCCUGUAACGACCAUUCCUCUUUCCACCAUGGUAACAUCUAUAACUACAGGAACCACAGCCACCCAGGUCAUGGCAAACUCUGCUGGACUUAACUUCAUCAAUGUAGUGGGCUCUGUUUGUGGAGCUCAAGCUUUGAUGAGUGGUUCAAACCCUAUGCUGGGCUGUAACACUGGUGCCAUAACUCCUGCAGGAAUAAACCUGAGUGGCCUUCUACCCUCAGGGGGUCUGCUACCAAAUGCAUUGCCGGGUGCAAUGCAGACAGCCUCUCAAGCAGGUGUUCCAUUUGGUUUAAAAAAUACUUCAAGUCUCAGGCCCUUAAAUCUACUCCAGCUUCCAGGCGGCUCGCUCAUUUUUAACACUCUGCAGCAACAGCAGCAGCAGCAGCUCUCCCAGUUUACACCACAGCAGCCUCAGCCCCAGCAACCCACAACUUCUAGUCCUCAACAGCCUGGGGAGCAGGGUUCUGAACAAAGUUUGACCAGUCAAGAACAAGCCUUAUCUGCUCAGCAUGCUGCAGUUAUUAACCUUGCCGGAGUAGGAAGCUUUAUGCAUUCACAGGCAGCUGUGUUGUCUCAGCUUGGCUCUGCCGAGAACAGACCUGAGCAAAGCCUUCCUCAGCAGAGACUCCAGCUCUCCUCUGCCUUUCAACAGCAGCAGCAACAGAUCCAACAGUUACGAUUCUUGCAGCAUCAAAUGGCUAUGGCAGCAGCAGCAGCACAAACAGCUCAGCUACAUCGUCAUCGGCACACAGGCAGCCAGUCAAAAAGUAAAGUGAAGAGAGGCACACCAGCCACUCCAAAAUUCUGAGUCUUGAAUAGUUUUUCUCUCUUUUU